rnacentral:rRNA from 1 species
UACGUAGGGGGCUAGCGUUGUCCGGAAUCAUUGGGCGUAAAGCGCGUGUAGGCGGCUUGGCAAGUCGGUUGUGAAAGCCCGGGGCCCAACCCCGGAAUUGCAUCUGAAACUGCCUCGCUAGAGUCCCGGAGAGGAAGGCAGAAUUCCCGGUGUAGGGGUGAAAUCCGUAGAUAUCGGGAGGAAUACCAGCGGCGAAGGCGGCCUUCUGGACGGUGACUGACGCUGAGACGCGAAAGCGUGGGGAGCAAACAGG